rnacentral:rRNA from 1 species
AGAGAUAGAAAGUUACUUCGGUUACGAUCGGUGGACAGGUGGUGCAUGGUUGUCGUCAGCUCGUGUCGUGAGAUGUUGGGUUAAGUCCCGCAACGAGCGCAACCCCUAUUGUUAGUUGCCAUCAUUCAGUUGGGCACUCUAGCGAGACUGCCGGUAAUAAACCGGAGGAAGUGGGGAUGACGUCAAAUCAUCAUGCCCCUUAUGACCUGGGCUACACACGUGCUACAAUGGUUGGUACAACGAGUUGCGAGUCGGUGACGGCGAGCUAAUCUCUUAAAGCCAAUCUCAGUUCGGAUUGUAGGCUGCAACUCGCCUACAUGAAGUCGGAAUCGCUAGUAAUCGCGGAUCAGCACGCCGCGGUGAAUACGUUCCCGGGCCUU